rnacentral:rRNA from 1 species
GAUGAACGCUAGCUACAGGCUUAACACAUGCAAGUCGAGGGGCAUCAGGAAGAAAGCUUGCUUUCUUUGCUGGCGACCGGCGCACGGGUGAGUAACACGUAUCCAACCUGCCCUUUACUCGGGGAUAGCCUUUCGAAAGAAAGAUUAAUACCCGAUAGCAUAAUGAUUCCGCAUGGUUUCAUGAUUAAAGGUAUUCCGGUAGACGAUGGGGAUGCGUUCCAUUAGAUAGUAGGCGGGGUAACGGCCCACCUAGUCUUCGAUGGAUAGGGGUUCUGAGAGGAAGGUCCCCCACAUUGGAACUGAGACACGGUCCAAACUCCUACGGGAGGCAGCAGUGAGGAAUAUUGGUCAAUGGGCGAGAGCCUGAACCAGCCAAGUAGCGUGAAGGAUGACUGCCCUAUGGGUUGUAAACUUCUUUUAUAAAGGAAUAAAGUCGGGUAUGGAUACCCGUUUGCAUGUACUUUAUGAAUAAGGAUCGGCUAACUCCGUGCCAGCAGCCGCGGUAAUACGGAGGAUCCGAGCGUUAUCCGGAUUUAUUGGGUUUAAAGGGAGCGUAGGUGGACUGGUAAGUCAGUUGUGAAAGUUUGCGGCUCAACCGUAAAAUUGCAGUUGAUACUGUCAGUCUUGAGUACAGUAGAGGUGGGCGGAAUUCGUGGUGUAGCGGUGAAAUGCUUAGAUAUCACGAAGAACUCCGAUUGCGAAGGCAGCUCACUGGACUGCAACUGACACUGAUGCUCGAAAGUGUGGGUAUCAAACAGG